rnacentral:misc_RNA from 1 species
UGGUACCUCAGUGAGCCAUCGUGCCACAGUUUUUUCUUCUUACGUAGGUCAUGACUGUACAGGCAGCGAAACUCGUAGACUGGUGCGGUAUUCUGCGUGGCGGCGACGGCCAGGUUGGGCGUGCCUCGUGCGGUACUCAUUGUGUAGAUGACGGAUAAGGCGCGUCGCACCGGCGCUUCAUAACGACGAGUC